AUGGCCCCACUCACCGCCUCCUGCCUGGCGCCCUGCCCCCACUGCUCUCCCCUGUCUGCCCCGCCCCUGCAGGAAUCCCCUCACCCUGGAACAUUCCUGAGACCCCCAGGUGAGGAGGGCGCUGUGCUGGUCGCCAUCCCUUACCCUGCUGCGCUGUCAGAGCUGCGCUUUGGGGACUUACGAUUUCCGCUCACGAGGCGCAGGCCGAGGACCUCAGGGCCGUCCUCAGCGGGCGACCUGCACGGCCCGGUGAGCGCGCAGCAGGGAGGAGCCGCAGAGCUGGCAGCUGUCGGAGGCGCUCAGCGACAGGAAACCUCUGCAGCUCCGCAGCGUCUCCUGCCCCCCGUGGUGACACUUCUCUGCUGGACGCUGAAGGCCGAGUUAAGGUAUCCUGCGGGGACGGAGAUGCGGUUUCAUUUUCAGUCUGAGAGAAAAAUCCCGGGGCAGGCUCUCACACCAUCCAGAGCACUUAUGGCUGCGAAGUCGGGCCCGACGGGCGCUUCCUCGGCGGGUACACGCAGCACGCCUACGACGGCAAGGACUACAUCGCCCUCGCCGAGGACCUGAGCUCCUGGGUGGCGGCGGACACUGCGGCGCAGAUCACGCAGCGCAAGUGGGUGGAGGCCGGAGAGGCGGAGCAGGACAGAGCCUACCUGGAGGGGGAGUGCGUGGAGUGGCUCCGCAGACACCUGGAGCUCGGGAAGGAGAGCCUGCAGCGCGCAGAUACCCCAGAGACACAUGUGACGCACCACCCCAUCUCCGAGGAAGAGGUCACCCUGAGGUGCUGGGCCCUGGGCUUCUACCCUGAGGAGAUCACCCUGACCUGGCAGAGGGAUGGGCAGGACCUGACCCAGGACAUGGAGCUGGUGGAGACCAGGCCCGAUGGGAGUGGAACCUUCCAGAAGUGGGUGGCUGUGGUGGUGCCUCCUGGAGAGGAGCAGAAGUACACGUGCCGUGUGCAGCAUGAGGGGCUGCCUGAGCCCCGCACCCUGACAUGGGACUCACCUCCUCAGACAGCCAUCCCCAUCCUGGGGGUUGUGGCCGCUGUGAUUCUUCUUGUAGUUGUGGUCAUUGGAUCUGUGGUUGCUUUCGUGAUGUGGAAGAAGAAGAAGAAAGCAGGGCUGAAGGGAGGGAUCUAUGCUGAGGUUACAAGCUGUGACAGUGCCCGUGGCUCUGAUGCAUCUCUCAUGACUCUGGAAGCGUGAGACAGCUGCCUUGGGGUGACUGAGCCACACCCGACUUCUCCAGCCCAGGCCUUGUGACCUCAAGAACACCCAAAUCCCCUCCCUGCAAAGGCUUCCGAGUGUGUCCAUCGUCCUGUCGGCGUCGGGGAGGAUGUGGAGAGCGCAGGCCGGCCCUGGCCCAGGACUCCUGUCCCCACACUGACCCGUGCCCCUUCCUCAUCACUGUGGAGGGCCACCUGGGCGACUCUCCCGG